rnacentral:rRNA from 1 species
GGCGUGGCUUCCGGAGCUAACGCGUUAAGUCGACCGCCUGGGGAGUACGGCCGCAAGGUUAAAACUCAAAUGAAUUGACGGGGGCCCGCACAAGCGGUGGAGCAUGUGGUUUAAUUCGAUGCAACGCGAAGAACCUUACCUGGUCUUGACAUCCACGGAAGUUUUCAGAGAUGAGAAUGUGCCUUCGGGAACCGUGAGACAGGUGCUGCAUGGCUGUCGUCAGCUCGUGUUGUGAAAUGUUGGGUUAAGUCCCGCAACGAGCGCAACCCUUAUCCUUUGUUGCCAGCGGUCCGGCCGGGAACUCAAAGGAGACUGCCAGUGAUAAACUGGAGGAAGGUGGGGACGACGUCAAGUCAUCAUGGCCCUUACGACCAGGGCUACACACGUGCUACAAUGGCGCAUACAAAGAGAAGCGACCUCGCGAGAGCAAGCGGACCUCAUAAAGUGCGUCGUAGUCCGGAUUGGAGUCUGCAACUCGACUCCAUGAAGUCGGAAUCGCUAGUAAUCGUGGAUCAGAAUGCCACGGUGAAUACGUUCCCGGGCCUUGUACACACCGCCCGUCACACCAUGGGAGUGGGUUGCAAAAGAAGUAGGUAGCUUAACCUUCGGGAGGGCGCUUACCACUUUGUGAUUCAUGACUGGGGUGAAGUCGUAACAAGGUAACCGUAGGGGAACCUGCGGUUGGAUCACCUCCUUA